rnacentral:piRNA from 1 species
UACAAAUCGACAUUGUGUCUCCAAAAAAGUG